rnacentral:tRNA from 3 species
GCGUCGGUGGUGGAAUUGGUAGACACGCGAGGUUUAGGUCCUCGUGCCUCCGGGUGUGUGGGUUCGAGUCCCACCCGACGCACCA